rnacentral:rRNA from 1 species
UUUCCGUAGGUGAACCUGCGGAAGGAUCAUUGUCGAAUCCUGCAAAAGCAGACCGCGAACACGUUAAACCACAUCUGGAUCUUGGGUCGGGGGCAACCCCAACCCUCGCUCCCCUCCCGCAGCGUGCGCUGCGGAUAACGAACCCCGGCGCGGCAUGUGCCAAGGAAAACUCAUAGAAGCACCCGCCUCCCGUCGCCCCGUACGCGGUGCGCGGUGGGGGGUGUAUCUCAAUGUCAUAACGACUCUCGGCAACGGAUAUCUCGGCUCUCGCAUCGAUGAAGAACGUAGCGAAAUGCGAUACUUGGUGUGAAUUGCAGAAUCCCGUGAACCAUCGAGUCUUUGAACGCAAGUUGCGCCCGAAGCCUUUCGGCCGAGGGCACGCCUGCCUGGGCGUCACGCAUCGCGUCGCCCCCCCUCCCAUUCGCUGGAUAUUGGCCCCCCGUGCGCAGCGCUGUGCGGCCGGCCUAAAUGCGAACCCGUGGCGACUCACGUCACGACCAGUGGUGGUUGAAUGCUCAACUCUCGUGCUGUCGUGUCGUGAGUCGCACGUCGGGCAACGUGGUAGACCCAAUGGAGCAAUUGGUUGCGCCUUCGACCGCGACCCCAGGUCAGGCGGGAUUACCCGCUGAGUUUAA